GUCUUUUAGAGUUUAAUUUAAAGUUUAACCUGCCCAUUGAUUAUAUUUAAAGGCUGCAGUAUUUUGACUGUACAAAGGUAGCAUAAUCAUUAGUUUUUUAAUUGAAAACUAGAAUGAAUGGUUGGAUGAAAUAUUGACUGUUUUAAAUUAAAUUAUAGAAUUUUACUUUUAAAUUAAAAGGUUUAGAUAAAUUUAAAAGACGAGAAGACCCUAUAGAGUUUAAUAUUUAUUAUUUAAAAUAAAUUAAGUUGAAUUUUUAUUUAAUGUAAAUUAAAUAUUUUAUUGGGGUGAUAGUAAAAUUUUAUAAACUUUUAUUUAUUAAACCAUUAAUUUAUGAAUUUUUGAUCCAUUAAUAAUGAUUACAAGAUUAAAUUACCUUAGGGAUAACAGCGUAAUUUUUUUUUUAAGUUCUUAUUAAUAAAAAAGUUUGCGACCUCGAUGUUGGAUUAAGAUUAAUUUUAGGUGCAGAAGUUUAAAUUUUAAGUCUGUUCGACUUUUAAAUUCUU
rnacentral:rRNA from 1 species